rnacentral:rRNA from 2 species
AGCAGCCGCGGUAAUUCCAGCUCCAAUAGCGUAUAUUAAAGUUGUUGCAGUUAAAAAGCUCGUAGUUGAAUUUCGGGAUCAAUAUGUCGGUCGUGCCUUCGGUACGUACUGGUAUCAUUGGUCUCUCCUUUCUGACGAACCAUGAUGUCAUUAAUUUGGUGUUAUGGGGAGUUAGGACUGUUACUUUGAAAAAAUUAGAGUGUUUAAAGCAGGCUUUAGCUUGAAUACAUUAGCAUGGAAUAAUGAAAUAGGACGUUCGAACCUAUUUUGUUGGUUUCUAGGAUCAACGUAAUGAUUAAUAGGGAUAGUUGGGGGCAUUAGUAUUCAAUUGUCAGAGGUGAAAUUCUUGGAUUUAUUGAAGACUAACUACUGCGAAAGCAUUUGCCAAGGAUGUUUUCAUUAAUCAAGAACGAAAGUUAGGGGAUCGAAGACGAUCAGAUACCGUCGUAGUCUUAACCAUAAACUAUGCCGACUAGGGAUCGGAUGAUGUUAAUUUUUUAAUGACUCA